UGUGAAGCCCGAUACGAAUUAAGGGGGGGGGGGGACAGCCCUCCGACCGUUAUUCGAACUGGAUAACCGGCAAUGAAAGAUCGCUGUUGGGUUGUGAGGAGAUGCAAGCCUUACGAUCAGCCAUUGACCGGGAUGAGGGAAUACGGGCCCACGCCUUCGAUAUUGGCGACGGGGAGGGACGAUGCAGUAAGCUCUCCCUGUGGAGCCACCCAGGAUUUGAUGUGACAGGCAUGCUGGCCAGGUGCGAAAAAGUGGCAGGUACCGUGGAAAAGUAAUCAUGUUGGUGCCGAAAUAUGACGCAUCGGCAGAGAUAGAUCUGGACCCCGGCCAACUGGACAUUAGAAAGAAAAAAAGGAGAAAAAAACACCGAGCGCAUGAAUAUCCAG